rnacentral:tRNA from 1 species
GGGGGUGUAGCCCACCUGGGAGAGCGCUUGAAUGGCAUUCAAGAGGUAGUCGGUUCGAUCCCGAUCAUCUCCACCA